rnacentral:pre_miRNA from 1 species
UGAUUAAGACCUGUCCGGAAAUAUUUGUCCGAAAGAUGGAUGUAUCAAGGCGUAUUUUAGUUCUAGAUACAUCCACUAAUAUUCAUUUCUAAGACAAGUAAUUCCGGACGGAGGUAGUACUUU